UAUCUUGGGAGAGGAAGUGCAUCCUCAGAUGGGGCAGCUGUCAGCUGUAGCCAUGACCACUCUGAGAAUCACCCAUCUUCUGUCAAACUCACCAACCUGCUUGAAAAGAGUAAAGUUCUUCAGAUGUCUACCCUCAAAGUCAGCAAUUAUUGUGGCCUACUCCUUUCUAACAGCUUUCUGCACUGACUCAAAAACACAAGUAGCGUUGAAGGAAUAUUAAAGAAGGGAUGGAGAAUGGGAUGUAAAUGAGAGAAAGGAACUAAACCAUGGCUUCAAACUCUGUGCAACCUUCUGCAGCUCAUCUUGGAAGUGGUGGGAAACAUAAACAAUGUCAAAUUUGCAAGAUUUUUGCCAUUCUUGUGAUAAGCUGUUUCCCAAUGGAGAGCCCGAAGAAGUCAUUAAAAGAGAGAAAACAUGCUUCUCCCAUUGCAAAGAUGGCAAUAUGCAAACAGAAGACUGAGAGUCUGACCAUUCAUCAGACCAGCAGACAACUUCACCCAUUUUCAGGAAGAAAGAGUUAAGGAUAAAUAAAUCAGUGAGACAGUUGAAAAUUCUGAGAAUGGAGCUGCAAGUUGAACCACCUGACCAACUCUUUGUUCUGCACAUCAUGACAUCCAUUCUGCUAGACUAACAUUGAGACCAUGAGCCUACUCUGGUUAUGCCUCAACUCCAUGGAAGAAUGAACUGGAUUUACAUCAGCUCUCCCUCCAAACCCAGCUGAGGUGAGACAAGGCCCAGGACUAACAGCACAGUGCAGAAUUCAGCUAUAUAACCAGACUGCUGCUUUCACCCUCUGUUUCCUGUUCCAGCAGAACCCAGAUUUCUCCUAUAUUAAACUAUUUUCCAUCUCAAGCUAAUCUCACUGCCUUCCCAACACCUUCCUUUAAUCUUUAUCCCUACCACAUUCCUGGCUUUCAGUUCCAUUCCCAAUUCCUUCAUCAUAUUUCAAUAUUCCUUCAUCUAUGUCAAUUCCAGGCAUGGUUCCUAUCAACUCACCCCAAUUUCCCCAGUAUCAUUUUUUCAUAUCUAGUUUCAUCUUCCUAGCUUUGGGAAGAACCUAAUCGUUUAUCUGUAAGGUUCCCUGAUGUCUGCACAAGCAUGCUUGGUAAGCAUAAAUUCUCUGGAGAUCCUAGCAGCUACAACAAAAGAAACUGCUGAGAACUGUGAACUGAUUUUGUUGUUGGUAUUCUUUUUCCCCGAGAGCUCAUCAUCUGUGAAAAUAUGGCUCGAUUCUCCAGAGGUCAACAACCAUGGCACAGAUGCACAGACUUCUACUGGUUCAACCCUCCCAUGUAUCAAGCUCAAGGAGGCUAGUGUUACUUAAACAAAACAAUGAACAGAAGUUAAAUUUACAUAUAUUUUUCCCCUAACUCACACUCCAAAUGACUUGAAC
rnacentral:lncRNA from 1 species